rnacentral:rRNA from 1 species
ACUCCUACGGGAGGCAGCAGUGGGGAAUUUUGGACAAUGGGGGCAACCCUGAUCCAGCAAUGCCGCGUGUGUGAAGAAGGCCUUCGGGUUGUAAAGCACCUUUGGCGGGAACGAAACGGCGCUUGCUAAUACCAGGCGCUAAUGACGGUACUCGCAGAAUAAGCACCGGCUAACUACGUGCCAGCAGCCGCGGUAAU